AUUUUUUUUUUUUGUUUUCUAUAGUUUCUCAAAUAGUCAUGAACAAGAUUUUUAAAAUAAAUAUUUGACUUGCAAAAUGAUUUGUUUCCCCUCCAAAACUAGAAUUUUGUGUUGAUGGACACCAAUAAUUAUGAAUUAAAUGAAGUAAUUAAUCGUCAAUUAAUAAUUUAACUCUUAAAAUAUUCUAAUCAAAGAGGAAAUUGAAUGAGGUAUGGAGGAUAUAGGGUAAGAACUUCGUUACGAGAAAAGGGGGGUGAAUUGGGAGUGUAUAGAUUUCACAACUCCCAUUUCUUCUAUUCAGACUUUCUUUUCAUACAUGGCUUACUUAACAAAGAACACUAGACUUUUUUUUUCUAGUUUGUCUAUCACUUCGCUAUUGUAGUCUCAUAGGAAAUUUCAUACAAGAGUUUUACUAUUUCCCUUAGAAAAUACACACUGAUAUUAACAAUCUCACCCAAAGAAACCUUAGAAGUCAAUCUCCUUAAAUAUAACACCCUUCUAGGGUUAAAAUCGGCUACUAGUACGGCAUGCCUUCACACAAAUGCCUCUAUCCUCACCACUUGUGUCCUAGGGCCUGAUGGAUAGCAUAAAUCCUUGAGAUGAAGGUUGUCUUGAUCAUCAAAGUUACAAAUCAAUCAAAUGUAGUGUUCAAUUCCUUGUUGAAGCUCAUGAUGAACAAAAAUUUGAGUGAUUCAUUAUAGAUUGAUGAAGACAGUCAUUUCUUUCUUCUCAAGAAUUGCCUUUUUUUUUGGAUAUUGUCUUCUACUAGUUUGUCUUAUUUUUCUUGGUCAUUAGAGAUUAGGAAAUUAAUUUGAAAACUUAUUAUCUUUUAGAAUACAUGGUAACAACCCUUGAUCCUUUUAUAAUUCUUUUAUCCAUUUGAUUUAAAAUUUGAAAUGUAACUCUGUCUCUUUUUGACAAUUAACUUUGUUGUUGAUGCCAAGUCUGACUAAACAUGUUUAAUCUAUCAUUUGAUCUACAUAAGUCACAGAUGUGUCAUAGUUUAGAUUUCAAGUACAAGAUUUAUGAGACGUAUCUGUAUUUUGUGAAUUUGGAAAUGUCCUCCAAUAACUUUAAUUUCCUAUACAUAUGAAUAAAGUAAAUAUUUCUGCAUUUAAGAUGCCAAUUCAAGAAUACAGAAAAAGUGAUAAACACAAUUUACUUCUUACCAUUUAUCAUUGAAUAUCCUUUUAUCAAGGGAUGAUUCUACAAUGCAAAAGAUUUAACAUUCUCACAUACCUAUCAUAAAAAUAUCUUGAUCUCAAGUAUAACACCUUCAGAUUUAAUUUUUAUUUACAAGAACAAGGAAUUUCAUUCAUAAUAAAUUAUCAAAUAAAUAUAAAGCAUUUGAUUAAAAAUUCUAAAUUCAAUAAAAUUUAAUAAAAAAAUUUCUCAAAUUUUAAUACCAAAACAGACAUCAAUAGAUGGAUCAAUAAAAUAAAAUAAAAUAAAUCAUGAUCACGAAAGGGUGCACAAUCUUUAAAGAGAGACUUCAUUGGUGGAAGAGACUGUUACUAAUAGGGACUGAAAAUUGACAAAAUAAAAAAAAAUGAAUAAAAGGGAAAUAUAAGAAAGUAAUGGGGGAAUAGAAAACACCUACUGAAAGGAGAAAAAGCAUUGGAAUAUAGAGAAAUGCACCAGCAUAAGAGUUUUCCCCUGUAAGUGAGAAAUCACCGAGAAAAGGGAUAUCACCAGCAAAGUAACAAAACAGAAAUGAAUAAUUGAUCAAACAUCAAACAAGAUGAAGUAAAGAACAGAAUGGAUAAUAGAUAGAGAGAAAACCUUCAUAAAGAAAGAGAGAAUUCACUGGAAAAAGGAAGAACUCUUGAUGAAGAAAGGUCUCUCUUAAGUGUGAGAAAAAUCACUCACAAAAAUGAUCUUUGGCGAAUAAAAAUGGAAAAUUAAGAAAAAAAGGAGCAAUGUUAAAUUAGAACAAAACGAAAAAGAAGCAGAUAAAAUAUUCAUAAAAAGAUAAAAAUAUACCAAAAAUGGGAACUCGUUGAGAGAAGAAAACACUCAUCAAAGAAAGAAAUUGAAAUCAAAAACAAAUUUAGGGACUAGAGAAAUUAAAACAACUGAAGGAAAGAUGAGCAACAUGAGAAAUCAUGUAAAUAGUGGAGGAAGGAGGAGGAAAGGAAGAACAUGGUGUAAAGGUUAGAAAAAAGAAUAACUCUUAUCUAUCACCCAAGAAGAGAGAGCAGAUGAGAGAGUUAGAAAGCAAUGAAAAAUCCCUAAAACUAAAAAGGAAGGAUUUAAAGCAUUAUAAAAGAGGUGGGGAUUAAUUUCCUAUUGUUUACAUAGGAAAAGAUUGAGAGGGGAAAGAGGAACAUGAAGAGAGAGAGAGGGAGGGAGCUUAGGGAAGACGAGAACAAAGAUAGAAUAUGUGCAAAAGAAGGGAGAGAGAAGGGAGAGGGAAGAUAAUAGGCGAGAUAAGAGAUGCACUGAAAUAUAUACAUAAAAGUUUUCGAAUUGAGGAGAGGGACGUGAUGAGCUUGCGUAGGGCAUGGGUGCAUAAAUACCAAAUUGCCCCUAUCUUAUAGCUAAAAUAUGCUUCAUAUCCUAAAUAUAAAGAAUGCAUAAUUAAAUUCCAAAAAUUAUGGUAAUAAACCAUAAUUAUAAAAUUUUGAGAAAGUGAUACUAACAUAAAAUCCUUAUUUACUUAUUAUUUCAUCAUUACAUUAUCAUAAGAAUGUGCAUCUUUAUCUUAUUUUUACUUUAAAAUAUCACAUUAUCAUGCUGCCCAAAUAAUUUUAAAUGUCAACAAAUCCUAGUUCAUUGAUAUGAAACCUAAGGGUCUUUAGUCACUACAUAUUGAGUACAAGGCUUUCGGCACCCAAUCAUAGUGCAGAGAACUUUUCUACCACCAUCAAUUCUUACAAUUUGAGCAACACUAGUUUAGGUGUACAUUUUCUUUUCAGGACCAUUUUUGUGCCCAUCACAAUGCCUUGUUUUCUCAUUAAACCUUCUGAUAUAAAACCUUUGGCAGCCCAACAAGGAAUGAAAGUUGUUACUUCCUCAGUAUACACAAUCUCUUGAUGCUAUGAUCAAUUAGCUAUAUCGUUCAGGUAAAACGUUCUCCUAGUUUCAUCAAUUUUAUUUUAGUAUCCUUUGAGUUUACAUCUUUGUUCUAAAAGUUCUCAAUUGUCCUGAUGUAUGAGAAUAAUCUAGAAUUCCUUUUUUUACAAACUUUCUUGGUUCAAAGUUUUCAUUGCAAAAAUAACAUAAUAUUUCUCCUCUUCAUGCUUUAAGUACCACUUCUAUAAUUUAUUUACCCUCUUUUACCCUCUGGACUAUUACUUAUUGAGCUCCCUCUAGUAGCAAUUAUUUAAGAUCCUCAAAUAUUAGUUUUGCCUUGACUUUAGGUUUGUCAAUUUAGUUGUGUUAUUUAUUCUAUUCAAAAUGAGAUAUGACUUCCGUUCCCCAUUAAUUCAAACUUUUUACCUAAUUAUUUUAUGUCCUUGCCAGGAAUAUUUAGCAAACUAAAAGUUAAUGAAUUCUAAAAAUAAGCCAAUUUCAGAGAUAAAUAAUUGUAUAGUAAAUUUUCCAACUUCAUUAGAGGGAAUGUGAAAAUUAAUUAGUUAUCUAUGAUUUCUAGCUGACAUAUUAAUUUUUAAAAAUAUUUGCAUAAAAAAUAUAAGUAAAAUAAGCCAAAAUAUAUGAAUUUGGGGGUUAAGGACAUUAGCUGAUGUCAACCUAUGAAGAACACCCUCACAUUCAAAGUUGUCGACAAUACACUAUCUCUAAGAUCUUUAAAAUUGAACCCAAAAUAAUUUAAAUCAAAGAUUAAUACCCAAGGGAUUUUGCUUGUACAAAUUGAAUAGUAGAAAAAGAAAAAUCAUAGUUUAUGGAAUAAAUGAGGAACAUAGUCAUCGAAUGAAUUUUCACCCAAAUUUGAUUGAUUUAUGUAGCCACGGUUCACCAUUGUCCUCUUGUACCUUCUCCAAUCAAUUUUUGACAAUUCCAACAAUUGUCACAUGUUGAAAUCAAGUAGCAAAAGAAAUACAACACCAACAUGUCAUGGCAUAUGGAAAAUAACCCUCAAAAGAAAUUCUUCACCCUUUGUAUUGGGUGAAGAAUGUAAAAAGUUUGUUGAGAAAAUUCUUCUUCUGUAGCUUCUAAAUGAGAGAGAAAUUAAGCCAAAAUCCAUCGUUCGUAUUAGAUGGAUGAGUUAGGUGAAUGCCAUCAUCUAUAGUGGUCGAAAUAGAAGCAUUUUGAUUCAAAAGGGGAAAGGAUCCGCUCUUCUCUUUCUGAAACUAGUUUUUAAUCUUAUUAUACUCAUAUUUCAUUCAUUCACUUAACAUGAUUCGUCAUACUUCUCACCACAAUCAUUGCAUCUAUUGUCAGCUCAAAAACUCCAAAAAGAGUUAAUUGUUUCUUUGAUUUAAUUGAUUAGAAGAUAUAGAAAUCAAGUGCAUGGAGUUAUAAUCUGACUUUGAAUCCAUGUAUGUUGAUCUACCAAGUUAAUUUCUCAAUGGAGUAUCAAUCAACAUUCUAAAAAAUUUUUACUAACUUUUUUUAGAUUUUCAUUGGUUUUUCGGAAUGUUUUGAAUUUUUUCAAAUUUCCUUAAUAAUUCUAUAAAAUAUAAAUUAAUGUAUAAAAAUUCUAAAAAAUAUUAUAAAUAAAUAAAAAAUGGAGAAAACAUUUUAUCAUAUUUCAUGAUCAAUUUUAGUAUAUAAUUCUUACAUAUUAACUUUAAAAUGGCAUAAGUAAAUUUAAACCCAAUUUUUGCAAAUGAAAUUAAUUUUAAAUAUUUUUAGUACAAAAAUAAAUCAUCAACCACAAAUAUAGUAACGAGAUUCUCAUUGAAUUAUUGAGAGUUAGCUCUUGUGUUGUGAAGAUUCCCUUGAUAGAUUCUUUCCGAUGUUCUCUCGCUUGUCUUUUCAUUUCCUUUCACCAAUGCUGAUCCUUUGUGUUCCCAUAUUUCUUUCCAGCACACAAUUAUUGUACUCACUUGUUGUCUUCUAUCUCACUUGGCCUUUCUUUGUAUACUGGACCUUUCUGCCUCUGCUUUUUCUGUCAUACUUUAAUUGCAUGGACGUACAGGUCUUAACGUCCCAAGGGUUUUCCAAAUCCAUCAAAAUAGAAUGAAUUUGCCCAGAAGUUUGAUUAUGGAUAAUCAUCAUUAUUUAUGACCAUCCAUUUCUUCAUAGAAAUGAUUCUACAUGCCAGCAUUACAUCUCUAAAUGACAUUUAUCUCACAGGCCACCCAAAGAAUCCACUACGGAAUGUACCUAAUGAUUUACCAGUAGGAUGCAGACAGAACACGACUUUGCUUUUGGCAAUAAUCAAAAGAAUUCAGAGGCUUAUAAGCUUUGUUGAUGUGUAAUUUCAGGGUUUGAUGACAAUGGCUUUUUUUUCUUCAAGUGUAUCAAGAAAGAACGGGAGAGAGGGGCAGAAAACAUCUUACUCAUUUAUUGUGCUAGAAGUUAAGACAAAAUAGGGCAUAAAUUAUUCAUCAUUGUUGUCAUUAUGAAGCAUUGGUUCAUGGAAUUAGAUAAACCUAAUUGAUGGGUUAUUUUGUAUUAACAUAAAGACAUGGCAUAUUAGUUUGAUGGAAAAGGGAUGAUUCUAUAUAUUGGGUCUUUAUUUUUUGUCCAAGUGGGCCAAAAAUAUAUACCAAGUGGCAGGAGAUCAGUCUGUCUUUCCAUUACUUUACAUGUUCUCGAGAUAUCUUUGCUUGUCCAUGCAUGACCAGUUAGCCCCUGGGCUUAGUGGAAUCUUAGAUGAAACGAGUCAUUUUCCUGAUAGAGAAGUGAGCGUUCUAUCUUGUGCCUAGAGACGUAACAGAGUUAAUAAAACUAUAGCUAAUAAUUAUACUUAUUCAAGACAAUGUAUUUACCAAAUCCGGUUGUAAAUGAAAUAAUCUUUUCCUUUUAUUCUGUCCUGUAAAAUUCUUUUAUUAAAAAAUACGAACCAUAAAUAUUAUUCAUACGGCAACGAACAUUUCUACUAUUUAUUACCUCCAUAACAUCAAAUUCAAGCCAUCGAUCGAUUUGCAUAUACAUGUCAAUGUAAGAUAACUCAUAAUUAGAAAUGAGCCAAUUGCCAUAUUCAAGCACUUCCUAUGGGUCCCUGUUCAAAAAUGUCAAGCACGUGGUAGGCAAAUAUCUUUACAGUCUUUGCGUGGGUCAUUGUAGCCUUCUUUCUUAUCCGCCACUUGUCCAUUAGUUCACUCUCAUCCUUCCAAUUCUCCAUACACGGCAUGAUUCAGUUCACCUUCUGGACGUUAGGUCAUGACCCAGUCUUCUCGCAAGUUGUUAUAUAUACCGACAGUAGGCAACGUUCCUGGAGCAGUGGUAGUAUCGGAGGAAAGAUGUUUAUUCUCGACAAGCUGAAGCAGCUCUCCACCGAGAGCCCCCUCUCCUCUCCCAAAGGUUGGGCCUUUUUCCUUGGUACUUGAGGCUGAUGACCUGUGGACUUUCUCUUUCUGACGAUCUGUGCGCAUUGGUUUCCGUCGGCAGAGGAUGGCGGUAGCGAAGAGAGCAGCGGUGGCAGCGCCGCUGCCUCUGGGACGCCUGCGACGGUUAGCAAGCUGUCGCCGGACGCCAAGGAGAACGUUUCGCCGACCGUCUUCAACCCGAGCAGCAAUCUGUUCACCAUGGCCAUUGGUGCCGAGAUUCUCGACAAGCCCCAGCCCAACGCCCCCACCGAAUAGACGGGUUCGCACCCACCGCUCUCAUUCUUUCUGUAUCUAUCCAUUGGUUUACCUCUCUCUGACAACAAUAUAUCGCUUACUGACAGGCUUUAAAACGGAGAGACCAUGAGGUCGCAUCUCUGAGGAUCAGGGGGAACAGCUACGUACGUAGCUAGCCCACUUUCCUGUGAUGCAAUCACCAUGGUAUAUGCCAUCUUCUUUCGUACGUCAAUGGGGGUUCUCUCAUGUGUAGCGUUUGAAUAAGUCAGAUCUGGGUGAAGGGCAACUCCCGUGUAUCUGUAUGUACUUUGGAUGGCGGGCAUGAAAGUAGGAUCUUGGUGUUUGAAUCUGUCUUUGCGAACAUCCCCAUCGUCUCCAAUGAGUUCGUUCAGCAGACCACGGGCACAUCAACGAGCUGACUAGUGAGGGUGCGGCCCAGAUCCUCCGCUGGCCCACGGUUCCCUUGGAUGUCAACCGUUCGAAUUGGAACCAUGUUGAUUCCCUCUGAAAGAGUCAUAAAAUUUCCAAGGUUACGGGGAGAGCAGAAAAAUGCCCCUGUUUGCUCUUUACCCUGCUCAGUUGCUGCUGCAGUUUUGCUGGUUCGCCUCCGUAGCCCUGAGUAGGACGGAGAAGUUCCACAGGGGCCCUUCCCAGUCUAAGGAAACAAGCGAGAGCUGACCUGAAUGAUUAAGAAUGAUUCGUCAGGAAAACCCACAGAAGGUAAUAAAGCUGUGAAAAAUUAUAAAAAGCAAUAAAAUCCCCUCACAAGUCUCGAAGAUGUAAAAAUAGUUGAAGGGAAAAUUAUUGACAUCUAUAAUGUGGAGAUGACCACAAUAUAACAUGGAGCUUGUGAGAACUUGAUGCGGCAUAAUUGUAUAAUAAAUCAUGUAAAUUUAAAAUUUACAGAACUAGAAAAUGACUAUUUUUAAAUUUUUAAAUAAGGUGUUGAUGUUAGGGUGACAUUGGUGUCCAAUGAACAUGAAUCAGGUAGAAAUAGAGUUCCAUCUAAUGAUUCUUACAUAAGCAAUUACUAUCGAUUUAUUAGGUUAAAUUAAGUUCUGUAAAAAUUAGAAAGGUUAUAACUCAAUGACGAAAAAUAUAAAAAUUUGAAAUCGUACCAAAUAUCAUGAAUUUAAAUGAAAAUAAAACUUAAAACAAGAAAAAUAGAGUUUCAACUUCAUGACAAUGAUCGCUAGAAUUCUACAUAUUCAGGAGGAAUUUCGUGUAAUAUCCAUAACUGCAAAGGCUCUCGUUAGACAAAGACAAUGUGGGCAAUUUCUAUAUCUUCUUAUGAAGUCUAGGAAUCAAUGAAAUGGAUCGUUGAAUCAUCUCCAAUGACUGUCACCUGGUGGAGCUGAAAAAUAGUAACUUACGACUCUUUGGUAGCUAUCACUCAAUGGAGAUAAGUUGAAUGGAGGUGGGGAAGAUCUCAGGGGCUUCAUCCUCAAGUUAACACAGCAAAAGGAGGCCCUUUAUCAUAUCUAGUACGCUCUCAGGAGGUGAUGAUCUCUUGGUGGAUCAUCCUCUUCCCAACGACGGCUUAUUCGUCGAUUAAUUGGAGAUGAUUUCCUUGAUGAAUUUGAGAUCUUUUAUCCCAAUCGUUCACCAAGUUUAACAACAAUGUUCCACAAAUCACACUGACUAUAUUUUUCCUAAGAUUUUAAGGAUUCGGGCAGGUUAAUCACUUGUUAAAAAUCAUGAUUUCCUUGCCAAUCACUUGCCUGUGAGAGAGAGAAAAAUGAGAUAAGUAUGAUAAUGCCUUUAUCUAAUGACAUCAUAAGGAUAGUUUUUUUCUAACAAUCAAGGGAUAUUUUGGGUAUUUAAAUAUUUUUGAGAAGGUUGUGAACAUUCAUUUAGUCUCAUAUUAGUUUUCUGCCAAAUUUUGAGACAAAUAAAAGGCCAUGCGAGGCUUUAUAACUAAUAGGUAAAAGAUUUAGAGGCUAGAAAAAAUACCAAGAGGGGGAUAAAUUGGUAUUUUAGAAAUUUUGGAUUUUCUUCUUGAAUGCUAGAUGUCUCAACAUAUGUGUUAACACAGCUCUGCAUUAUUAUUUUCACACGGGAUGACUUUCUCUCUCUUCCGACGGGAUCUCUCUACGAGGCAAGAUCUUUUUAUAUUGGUUCACCCCUCACCUGGCUACUUUCAGUCCUAGAGGAUCUUUCCUACCAGUAUUUCACUAUUUCCCUUGGAAACACACACUGAUUUUAACAUAAUCAACUGCCCAACACCUCAAGUUCGACCUCCAUAGAGAUCCAGCCCCUUUUGGGCCAAACAAGGCUUAGAACACUUUGUCCUUUUGCCCAAACUCACUCUCCACUCACCACCUAGUUACCUUAGGGCCUAAUGGAGAGCCUCCUCAAGAGAUUCAAGCUCAUUUUUUAUCACCAAUCAUUGAUUGAAGAAGUAUAAAGUAGUCUACUUGCAGUUGAUGCUUAGCAAUGAUGUAUCUUGAUCGUGAGAGAGAUGGCUCAUUGUAGAUCAAAGUAGAAUCAUUUUUUUUGGUGUCCUUUACUUCCUUUACUUAUAAGGCGUCAUCUUUCAAUAGAUUUACAUGAUUUGCUCGAGAGACAAAGCUAGAAGGUCAAUUUGAAUACUUAUCGUUUUCCAUAAUGUGUGGCAACGACCUCUAAUUAUUUCAAAUUCAAUAUCUUUCUAUUCUCUAAUCCAUUCAAUUUGAAAUUUGAAUCAAAGAUUCUCCUCUUGUAGACGAGCAACUUUCCUCUUGACUUCGUUUUCUUAUUCAAACAUUAAGCUGGUCGUUUUCUCCACGUAAGCAGCUUAUGUGUCACUAUCCAAAUUUCUGGGUCAAGACUCAUGAGAGCUCUUUGGAUAUUUCGAAUCUUUUUCUUUUUCUUUUAAUGACACAUGUGACUAUUAAAUAAUAGCUGCACUUAAAUAUUUAAAUAAAUAUAGAUAUAUGAAUAAAAAAUAUAAUCAUCAUUUACCUAUUAAAUAUUUGUUUUCCAAUAAAUAUUUAUCUAUGUGUGACACUUCACCUUUUCAUCAUUUCUCUUAAACUCAAAGUUAGUCAUAAUGUCACAAGAUGAGUAAUGAAACCUAUAAAUCUUAAUCUUAUGAAUUAUAUCAAUCAUGUAUAUAUUUUCUCAUACAUUUUGUAAUAUCAAAAUCUAUGCCCAAGGGCAUCAACAAUAGGUACCUCUCUCGCAUAUGCAUGACCACUCUUUGUCCCACACUCAACUGGUGAUAACUCUCAAUAUUUACAUGAUAAUUUUUUUAGUAUCUCUAUCAUUUAUGCUUUAAUUUUGAUUAAAAUACUUCUAAAAUACAUUAAAUUGAAAAAUUUAGAUUUAAAAUGAUUUAUAUGAUUUUAAUGUUAAUUUCUAAGAAUUACAUGAAGAAAUUAGACAUGUAACAUGAUGAAAAUAUUUGUCACAUGUUUUUAUUUUUUAGAUUAUUUUUGAGAAUAUUUAUACAUUUAUUCUUAUUUUAUAGAAAUAUUAAUGAAAUUUAUGAAAAAUCAUUAAAUUCAUAAAAUCAGUGAAAAUUCUGAAAAAUCACAAGAAAAUCACACCGGAUGAUUAAUUGAUUCUCUAGAGAGAAAUUUGCCAAGUAAAUUGACGAAUAUCAAGUUGAAAUCAUGUUAUAAUUAAAUGCGUGUCAUUUUUAUAGUUUAGAAUCAUUUAAAACUAAGGAAAAAUCAAAUCUUUUUAGGAUUUUUGUGUUAAUGGCGGACGCACAAAUUGUGGCAAGAAAUUCAAUGAAAAAAUUGACAAAAUAUGCACAAAGGAAGAUUGAAAAGGUGUUUCCAGUGAGGAAUAAGGCAACCUCGAUUAUUCUAUCCCCUUCUCAGAUCAAAACCCCUCUUGUCUGACAGCUACAAAUGUUAGAUUUCGCCUAAUCUAUUGAUCUGAUACAAACAAUAGAUUUCAUCUAAAUUUCCCCCUCAUUCAACUGCUACAGAGGUUGAAUUUCUUCUAAAAAUCUUUCCCAUUCUUCACCUAAUACAAAUGGUGAGAAAUUUCUUCUAAGGAUCCUUCUCCAGACACCACAGCACACUCAAAGUUGAAUCACCUUUGCUACUCGAUUUCAACAAUUAAUAGUUGUUGGGGUUGUUAACCAUCAGUUGGAGAAGGUGUAGGAAACCAAUCAGGGAACCGCACCUACACAAAUCGAUCGUAUUUGAGUGAAAAUCCAAUCAAUAACUACGUCACCCAGUUCUUUCGUAAACUUUAAUUUAUAUUUAUUUUUACUAUUAUUAGAUUACAAUAACAUAUCUUUUAAUCCAUUCUCAUGUCAUGAACAAAAGUCAUUUGUUAUUAAUUUCUUAUUCCAUCAUUGUGGCUUCAAUUUGAUCCAUUUACGAGUCGACGUAUUUUCGUCGACUGUGAAUUUGGGGCUGUUCUUCACAAGCUAGACAUCAAUAAUCCCCAAAUUUACACUUUUAGCUUAUUUCGCUAUAAUUUGGCUAGAAAAUAAUUAAAAAAAUAAUCUAUCAAAUCAUAAAUAAUUAAUAAUAUUUCAUCUUCCUUGUGAUCGAACUAGAAAAUCUAUUAAUAUUAUUUAUUUAUUUAAAAUUUCCUUAUUUUCUAGAAUUUAUAAAUUUUAAAUUUGCUGAAUUUUCUUAGCAACAAUAAAAAUAGUCAAAUAGGUGGCCACCAGUGAUGUGGCAGGAGAAUGAUACACACAUCCUCAACUACUUGAGCCACCUUCAGCCACUUGAGCCUCAAGCUUGUGAUCCUCAAUUGCUAAAGCCUUAGCUCGUGGCUCUACCGACUAUGCCUCCAAGCCACUUGCAGGCCCGACUAACUAGUGGUUUGUUUAUUUUUCUAUUUUUUAUUUUACUUUUCUUUAUUUAUCUCAAAAAAUAUGAUUAUAAAAUUGUAUAAUAUCACAUAAUAUCAUAUAAUUAAUCAAAAGUUCACAUUAACUAACUAAAAGCUACUUUUCAAAAUUUAACAUAAAAAAUAUAAGUCGAUUUAUCAUGAGUUAAGGCUAAAAUUGUAUAUCACUUAAUUAUUAACUCAUGAAUAAAGCAAGUGAAAGUGAGAGCAUCAAUGGUUCCUUUUUGACUUAUCAGAACCAUUAUUUGGAUAUUUAUAGCUCAUUUCCUUAUAAAGUUAACUAUGUGAGCAUACCAAGGAAUAAUCUUACACUUUAUACUCAUGAUCUGUUCAUCAAGAAAUGAGUUAAAUAAAUUAUCAUUUUCGGAAGGUUGAAUGCGUGAGAGAUGGUCUAUAAUAGGAUUUUCAAAACCUUUUCAUUCUUUGAUCUCAAAAUCAAACUCUUGAAUCAAUAACAUACAUCUAAGGAGGGGUGGUUUAGAGUCAUUCUAAGUAAGUAGAUGACAUAGGGCUAUAUGAUUAGUAAAAUAAUCACUUUACAAAAGUAUUAAAUAAGAUCUGAAUUUUUCUAAAACAAAAAUAAUUGCAAGCAAUGUUUUUUCAAUUGUUGUAUAAUUAUUUUCUCUAUAGAUAAAUUUUUACUAGCAUAACUAAUGACCACUAGUUUUCCCUUUAUUCUUUGGCCCAACACCACCUGUAUGGUAGAGUUUGAUGCAUCACACAUCACUUCAAAUGGUUCUUUCUAAUUAGGUGCUUGGAGAAUUGAUACUUCCACCAAUUUCAAUUUGAGGGCUACAAAAGUAUCUAACAUUUUUUAUCAAAAAUAAAUGGCUUAUAUUUGGCUAAAAUACUUGUUAAUGGUCUAACUAUGUUUAAAAAAUCAUUGAUGAAUUCUCUCUAAAGUCUAGCAUGACCUAAAAAUGAUCUUAAUUGUUUAAUAAAAUUAGGUGGAAGUAAAUUUUUAAUUACCUUAGUCUUGGCUUGAUCCACUUCAAUCCCACAUUCACUAACCACAUGACCUAAAAUAUUAUCUUCUCUUACCAUGAAAUGACUCUUCUUCUAAAUCAAAACUAAAUUUUAUUCAAUGCAUUUGGUAAAUACUUUCUCAAGAGUAAUAAGACAGUCAUUAAAAGAACAUCUAAAAACUGAAAAAUCAUCUAUAAAUACUUCUAAAAAUUCUCCAACUAUUUCAGAAAAAAUAGAUAACAUGCAUCAUUGAAAUGUGGUAGGAGUAUUAGAUAAACAAAAGGCAUUCUAGUGAAAGUAAAAGUAGCAAAUGGGCAUGUAAAUGUAGUCUUCUCAUGAUCAUUUGGAUUGAUGGCUAUUUGAUUAUAAUUGGAGUAGCCACCAAAAAAGCAAAAAUAUUUUUGACCUAUCAAUUUCUCUAAAUUUUGAUCCAUAAAUGGUAAGGAAAAAUGAUCUUUUAUAGUGCAUGCAUUUAAUUUUCUAUAAUCAAUACAUACACAUCAUUUGGUUGGGAGUCUUGAAAUUUUUUUUUCCUCUUCAUUCUUAAAAUUUUUGGGGAAUAUGAGUCAAAGCAAUAACAAGAAUAUUUCUAGUGGAACUUCUUAUGGCAUCCCACUCCCUUUGUCAGCAUCUACUAAUUCAGAACUUAAUUUGAAAGCUAGGCAUGAGUUCUAGUAUCAUAAGUGUUUCCUCAUGGAUCCCUUUACAAAAUACCAAUUUUAUUAGAAGAGUUAGUGAAUCCUCCUUGAUUUGGUAUAACUUGAAUUGGACUCACCCAUUUGUUGUCAAAAAUAGGAUAAAUAAAACCAACAUUUAACCAUUUAUUUAUCUCAUCUUUAACAACAUCUUUCACACUGAAAUUAAUCUCCUUUGCAUUCACGCUUAGGUCUUGCAUCUUCCUCUAAAUAAAUGUUAUGCAUGUAAGUGUUUAGAUUUAUAUCUUUGAUAUCAGAAAUAUUCCACCCAAUUGUAUCCUUAUAUGAUGAUAAAACAUUAAUCAAACAUGAUUCUUGGGUAUAAGUCAAGUUUGCUUUAAUAAUGACAAAGUUAAUAUUUUUUAGACCUAGAAAAAUAUAUUUAAGACUUUUAUGCAAAGGUUUGAGAUCUAAUGUUGGAGAAGAGAUGGAAGGAGGGAAAAAUUCUUCUUCAAAUAUUGUUGUAGCAUAUAAAUCAGAUGGUUUAUCAUGUAAAAACAUAUUAUCAAGAAAAUUAUCAAUCCAAUCAAUUUUGGAAUAAUCUUCUUCUCCCCUUAGAUAAUUAGUUGCUCUAAAGAUAUUAGGAAAAAAUUAAUAUUUUCUUUUAUUGUAGCAAGAAAUUGACAUCAUAAAGUGAUAACAUUUGUUCUAAUUUAUGUUACAAUGUCAUGUCGAAAAUCAGAAAAUCAACAAGAAAGUAACAUUUGCCUACUUUGACAAUUACAUCUUCUAAUAUUCCUUUAAGUUUCUUAGUAGAUCUAUCUGCAAAUUGAAGAAUAGUAGAGGCUAGUUUGAGCUCACUAAUCCUAAAAUAUUCAACAAUAGUGGCAGGUAAAAGAUUAAUACUAACACUUAAAUCAAGAUAUGCAUUACCAAAAGUAAUUCUACCAAUUUCACAAGAGAUUAGAGGUACACCUAGAUCUUUGCAUUUCAUGGGUAAUUAUUCAAGAAUACUUGCACUUACUUGUGAUGAAAGAGUAAUUCUCUUCUCCCUAUUAGGUGUGCACAUCUCUUUCAAAAAAAUUUCAUAACUUGGUAUAUACUUGAUGGCAUGCAAGAGAGGAAUCUUGACCUGCACUUGAUGGCAUGCAUCAAUCCCUUUUUAACCUUUGAUUUUAAUGCAUGAGGGAAAGGUGAAGUGAGAACAUAUUCUUUGUGAUCAAUAUUUACAUGAACCUUUGAUUUUUCAACCUCUUCAUUAUCACUAAAAUCAUCAUCUUCCUCUAUAAUUUUCUAUUUUUGGUCUUCUAAAUUUUUUUCCAUAGAAAAGAGGCCUUUUCCAUCAUCUUUUUGUUGGUAAGGAUCACUCAAAACCUUCCCAACUUGUAGCUAAAAAAUGGCUUUCAUGUCUUCUAUUUGAGAUGGCACAAAAGCUUCUUCAAAACCUACAUUUACUAUGUUAGUUUGAUGUUGAAAAUUAGGAGGAUGAUUUUAUGGAUUGGCUAUAGGUUGACUUGGUAGCUGGCCUCCAUUUGGUCUAAUUUGUUGAGCUGCAUGUGGUUUUUAUGUGAAUUGAUGUAUAGAUUGAUUUUCUUAUUGUUGUUGCAGUAAUUGUUGAAUGGCUUGUUGUUGGGUUUGUUAUUAUUAUAAUAAUUUUUGAAUAGUUUGUUGUUGCUAAAUCAUGAUCUGUUGUAAAUCACUCAAUUUAUUCUCUAUGUCUUGAUUAUUUCCCAUGACUUGUUGUCCUUGACCUAAUAGUAGCUGUGCUUGAAAAUUUGAUGGACGUGGCUAACCUUGCAUAAGUGAAAAUGUUUGUUGUUGAGGUCUAACUUGCAUGCUAGGAUGACUAGAAUAUGUUUGCUAGACAUAUUUUUAUUUUUCUAUAAAAAUUUGGAUGAUUUCUCCAUCUAACUUUAUAAGAAUUCUGUACAAAAUUAUGGUUAGGUUUGUUAAAACCUUGAGCUAAUUGAACUUGUUGAAAUGUAUGAUAGAGAAAUAAUUUGAGGACAUUCAUUUUCAACAUGAUUCAAACUUGAACAAAUUGUGUAAAUUUUUCUGUUAAAUUUUUCUUGAAAAGUAAGAAUUUUUACAUCUUAGAAUUCAGCUCAUCAAAUUCAUUAUUUCAUUCUUUUUCAUCUGAUUUUCAAAUUUCAUAAAUUGUACCAUUAGAUCUAUCAAAAGAAGAUGAAGAUACAUAGUUUGAAGAGUUCUCACUACAUUCUUUUAAAAGAUAAUAUCCCUCAUCUCCAUUUUUUUUCCCCUAGGAUAAAGUUUUUUCAGAAAUUCUUGCACUAAAUCAUGUCAUGAUUUUAUCUCCUUUUCUAAAGUAAAAAUCUAAUAGCUAGGAUCACUUUUCAAAGAAAAUAAAAUAAUUUUAAUUUUAAUUCAUCAUCAGCCUCUUUGAUAGUCCCACAAACCUUAAGAAAUUCUUACAAAUGACCAUAAGGAUCUUUAAUAUUUUUACCAUAAAAUAUAAAAAUUUCCUGAUUUGAUAUCAUGCUUGCAAAUAGGUUGUUGUAGAAAAUCAGGUCCAGAUGGUGGAUUAAAAUGAUCUAUAAUAAGUUUAGGUUUUUCUCUUUUUUCCUCCAUUUUUCGUGAAUUAAGUAAAUUAGGAGGUGAUUUAACUCUAGAUAUAGGUAGUUCUACUAAUUUGGGUUUUAAGACCUUCCUAGCAUGCAGUUGUUAAUUCAUGAUUUUUUUUUAAAGUGAGAUAAGGAAAGAAAUAACAAAAAAUAGAAAAAAAAAUUUCCUAAAGAGAAUUAAAGAUUUCGAAAUUGCCUUCCCCAGCAAUAGUGCCAAAAAUUGAUGUGACCCUAGGUCAUUAUUAGAAUCAAUAGUCAAUUUGAAAAUUUUAUAAAACUAAAUAUAGCCAAAAUAAUAUUAAAUAGAUAUAAUGAUGAGCUAGGUCAUCUCCUCAAGGAAGACUUUUAGAAAUCUUUUUAUUCUCUAAUUUAACAGAUUAUGAAGUUGAUUUGAAGAUUUAAAUGGAUAUUCAAAGCAAUAAAGAAAUAAAAUAGUAAAUAAAUAUAGAUACGAAUUUAAAAUAGAAAUAAUUAGAAAAAUAAAUGAAAUAUGCUUUCGAAUGAUGAAAGUAGAAAAUAAAAAAGUAAAGAAAUAAGUAAAUCUAAGAAAAUAAAUUUAUUUUUUAUAUCUAAUAAAAAAAUAAUGAAAACUAUAUUGAAAAUCAAACUUACAACCCUUAUAAUGCAUGGCUUGAUGUUGACCUCUAGGUAACACUUCUCAAUCUUACAUUUAGUUCAAUUGAAUGGAUUUAAGGUGAGAAGGGUAGAGGAGAACAAUAAAAAAUCAAUGGUGCAUUCCUUGAACUUCUAUUUUCGUCGAAAAAAGAAUAAUAUUUUUUCUCAAGAACAACUCAAAAAAGGAUUCCUUUCUCUCUCAUCUUUCACUUUUUAUCCCCUAGAUCUGUAAGUCAUGUUUUUUAUUUUAACUUCCUAUUUUCUACUAUAUUUUUAUAAUUUUUCUCUCAUUUUUCUAACAUUUCCCCUUUUCUCACAUAGGAAUAAUUGAUAUUAUCUAUUUUACCAAAUAAUAAUUGAUAUUUAUAAAUAUACCUUUUACUAUGUGAGAGAAUAAUCGAUAUUAUCUAUUUUACCAUAUGAUAAAUGAUAUUUAUAAAUAUAUCUUCUAAUAUCUAGCUCAAUGAAGACUGUUGGAUCCUUGUGCCAUCAUUUUGCUUUAAAGAGGAUAACAUGGCCUCUAAAUCGUCAUCAGAUCCAUUUUACCUCUCGCCCCUUUUUCACAUGCUUUAUUGUGAUCCAUGUGCAUGGUGCACCACAUCCUUGUAGCUAGCAGCGUGGCAACUUUUGGCUUAUUAGAUCUGAUUGUGGCUGCCGUUAGAUCUAGCAUUAUUUUUUGUGCAAUGGUGGGCAAUGAUGUGAUGAAAUCUUGUGCAGUAGAUACAAUUGUUAACAUUUUCAGAUCAAUAGUUACUUUUUGUGUGGUGUAUAGUGACAUGGCACAGUCCUAUGUGUUGGAUUUGGCUACUACUAUUAUUCUGUUGUCGGAUCUGAAAGAAAUGAAGAGAUAUAUUUUAGUCCCAUAUCGGAAGUUUUACGAAGGUAAAGUGUUAUAUAUUAGUAGUACCCUCUAACUCAUCAGAGGCACCUCUAAAAGGGAUGAUCCAGACUUGACUACUAGCAUCCUAAGGAUGAUCUGGAUUGAGACCCAACUCUUAGUAAACUACGGAGAUAAUCUAUUUGGCUCAAACCCAUGACCUACAUCCACGACCCAAAUUCACAGGUUGUGAGGUGGUGCCCUUUGGGCCCACUCCCAAACGUAGUGUGGCCUCUGACCCAUGUCGGGCCCCUUAAGUGUUGUGCCUCCAACUGCUAAUGGUGUGCUAAUUUUUAUUUUUUAUUUUAUAUAUUUAUUUGAAUGCCUAAAAAUGUAAAAAAAAUUCAUAAAAUAUAUUUCACUUAAUCAUAAAAUUUUAUCACAAUAGAAUUUUAUUUCAAAAUCGACAAAAUGAGAAUUAUGCUUCAACAUAUUUUCAAUAUAUGAAAUAAAUUCUCAUCAAUUUUCUUUUUAUUCAUAAAAUAUCAAUUUAAAUCAAGAUUUAAGGAGGUUCAUUUAAAUAAAAAAUAAAAUAAUUAACAUAGUAACUUGUAAAAUACUUCUCAAAUAGACAUUAUUCUCUCUAAUUUAAUAAGAGAUUAACAUAAAAUUUUUAUAAGUUAUCAAAUAUGCCAACAAUUCUUGGACCUAAUCCAUCAUAGGCCACUUCAAAAACUUUUGAGAAGUUCAACAACCUAAGGAUAGGGGCGUGAGUAAGUUUUAUUUUAAUUUCAGAAAAGGCUUUAUGUUAUCCCGGGGUCAAUUCAAAUUUUUCUUUUUUUACAAUCAGUAAUAGGUGCCAUAAUACUACUAAAAUUAUGAAUAAAUCAAUUGUAAAAAGUAGGUUGACCAUGAAAACUUAUUACAUCAUGAAUACUAGUUGGGGUCGGCCAAUCUUGGGUGGCUUUAACCUUUUUAGGAUCAACUAAAAUUCCUUUAGAAAAGACUAUAAAUCUGAGAAAGACUAGCUAGUUGGCUAGAAAGAUACAUUUACUUGGGUUUACAUACAAGUUUUCACAUUGCAGAGCUUCACAAACUUGUCAAAGAUGAGUCAAAUGAUCAGAUUUGGUUUGACUAUAGAUUAAGAUAUCAUCAAAAUAAACCACAACAAAUCUUCUUAUAAAGGGAUGUAAUAUAUGGUUCAUUAAAUGCACAAACGUACUAAGAGCAUUGGUCAAACCAAAUGGCAACAUGAGCCAUUCAUAUAAACCUUCUUUAAUUUUAAAGACAGUCUUCUACUCAUCUCCCAAGUGAAUACAUACUUGGUUGUAACCACACUUAAGGUCAAUUUUUGAGAAAAUGGUUGCAUAGGUCAUCAUGUCAAGCAUGUCAUCUAGGCAAGGUAUAAGAUAAAAAUAGUUGACUGUAAUCUUAUUAGUAGCCCUACUAUCUAUGCACAUUAUCUAUGUGCCAUCAUUUUUUGGAGUUAAUAAUGUUGGUAUGGUGCAAGGGCUAAGACUUCUCUAACGAAAAAUCUUUUAAGAAGUUCCAAAACUUGUCAUUUUAAUUCUUCACCUUCAAGAGUCAACCUAUAGUGAGGUAAAUUGGGCAAGCUAGCUCUAGGGACUAAAUCAAUGACAUGUUGAAUUGCAUGCAUAGGAGGCAAAUGAUCAGCAAGGUCAUCAAGGAAUAUAUCUUUAAAUUCUGUUAAAAUGGAAGACAAUUUAUUAGACAUUAAUCUAUAGGUUAAUAAUUAUAAAUUAGUAGUUACAUCUAUAUAUUAAUAUCUUAUAUAUAAAUGUUAAUUAUUGGAUAAAGAAUAUAUUUAUACAUGUUUUACCAACUCAUUAUGACAUUUAUAAUGUUUUAUCAUUUAAGUCCUAAUGCAUAUUAUUUUACUUAUUUUAUUAAUAUUAUGAGACUAAUCCCAAUUGACUUUUAUGAAGUUAAGUGAUGAUUUUCUCACAUUUUCUUAAUAAUUAUUUAAUUACAAUGACUUAGAUGAGCUCUUAUUAAGAGUUGGGAGUAAUGGGAGAAGCCUAAGUUCUCAGACUAAAGAAAAACUCGUCUUAUAGAGAGGGUCAACCCAAUACUUCUAUGGACCUAAGAGAGUACAUUAUCUCCGUCAAGCUCAUUUGAACCUUAAGUGACACAUAACUUUGGCCCAGCCUAUUUAGACUUAAAAAGGCUAUCAAGAGAUGAGAUCUUAGAGUACCUUAAGAUGAGAUUAAGAAGAGAAUUAAAGCACCACCCUCAUAAAGGAAUUUAGGCCAUUCACCAAGAGAGUUGGUUACUAAUCACAACUGUCCAUCAGAGGGAGUCAAUUCUCUAGAGGUUUAAGGCCUCUUGCCCCCCUCUUAGAGGGCGUUUUUUGGAUCUCUCUCUAGUAACUACUAGCCAAAGGAAAAAGGAGGAAAAUCAAGAUCCGAUUAAUUGCAUUCUCAUGCUCAAAAUCGACAUGGAGAAGAGAUUACCUCGAUGCAUCAAGAUCAUGUCAAAUCAAGUACUACUUGACCUAAGACUUGCACACAACAAGGUUUGUGCAAGAUCCAAAUUUGGGGCAUUCUUGCAAUCCUCUCCAUUGAUAGAUUAACUUAUAGUUCAAACUAAUUUUAUCAUUUAUUUUAUCAUUCCAUUAUGUUACAUCUAUUCUCUCCCAUUCACCACAGUCUCCAUUUCUCUUGUCUUCACCCUUUUUACAUUUAAUUCCACCCUUCACCAUCUCAAGUAUAUAUAUAUAUAUAUAAGAAAUAAAAUAAACAAAAUUCCUACCCUCAUUAACCAUACUCCUUGAGGAUCAACCCUUAGUUAUCCUAAACCAAAGAGUGAGGUUUCAUAAAUAUUAUUUGCAUGAACUUGGUUACAUCACAACAACAUAUUUAACUCCUAAAUUGAGUUCAUCAGAGGUCAUAGUAUUUUUUGGUUUAGCAUGUACCAACCAGCAAGGAGUUCCAAUAGAGAGCUCUCAAUAAAUGUCUACUGCACCCAUAAAUUAUAGUUUAUUGAUUGGAUUAGAAGAGUGGGACGUGGUGGAAUGAAAAGGAUGCCAAAUAAUUUUUUUAUUUUUGAACCUAAAGGUAUAGGUAUUAGAUUGUCCAUGUUGAAUGACAUCCUGAUCAAAUAACAAUGGACAUCCUACUAACCUCCAUAGGAAGAAUGUCACAUCAAAUAUCAUCUUCAUAUAAAUGAAGUUUUAAAGGUACUCAACAUUGUUUUUGAACAUCAGCUGAAGAAGAGUCAACCCAUAACACUUUAUAAGGAUGUGAAUGAUCAAUGGUUGAAAAGUCUAAUCGAGAUAUGGAAUUUAAUGAAAUAGCAUUAAUACUACUAGUACUAUCUACUAUUACCUUGCAAGCCUUUCCACCAAUUUUAAUGAAGGAAUAGAAUAUGGACAUUUGAUCUUUAUCUUGUGGAGAGUGUGGUUGGGUCAAGACACAUCUCAUGACUCCUAAGGUGGUGUCUUGGUCGUGAAUAUCAAGGACAGUGGAUUCAACAUGGAAUUCUUGGGCUAAUCAUUCUGCAGUGUUACAUUCUUCUACAUCAAAAAGGUUUUGAUCUUCAUUAAAUAGAUUUUCUUCUUGUUCAAUCAGAUGAAGGGUGCAUGUGGAACAUUGAAAUGCUCAAUCAUCGUGGCCAUCAUAGCGAAAACAAGUAGUCUUGUUAAAAGAAUCCAAAGUGAUAGGUUUCUUUUCGUGAUCUAUAGGGGGUAACACAAUGGUAGAUGAAGUGGAUGAGUUAUUCGGAAUAUUUUGAGGAAGGUCAGGGUUCAUGUUGUUAUUAGGCAGUUUAGGAGAUCUUUGAGAGAUCGAGACUAAGGGAGAAUGAGAUGAUGAUAUUGAGUGUUGAAGGGAAGAAAGUGAAAAAUGCUCAAGAUCUCAAGCUAAUUGAUAAGCUUGUUGUAAGGUGGUAAUUUCUCAAAGGCAAAUUUCUCAUUGGAUGUCAUCCCAUAGGCCAGAUCAAAAUUGUGACAGGGUUAUGGCUAGUUCUUCAUUGUUUUCACAUCUCAUGGAAAACUUCUCAAAUUGAGAAAUGUAUGUGAUAAUAACUUGAUUUCCUUGCAUCAACAUUUGCCAUUAGUCAAGGAAACGAGAAAGGUAAGUAGAAGGUAUGAGUUUCAACAUUCUGCCAAUAAAUCUUACCAUGACCAUCUAAUUUCAUUUGGGCAAAAUGGACUUUCCGUGAUUCAGACAUUUUGUACCAACUAAAAUAACUAUCCAUAUCAAUUUCCCAAUUAGUAUAAACUUGUGGAUCAAGGACACCAUUGAAAUAAGGGGCUUUGAUUUUUAUAUGACAAUAAUUAGAUUCUCCUCGGUUGACUGGACACCAAGGGCGCUAUAAGUGUUGUUAGGAGGUGAUUGAGAUGCCUGGACAUUAGGAGAUUCAUGUGUAAGAUUUAGAUGAUCCAAACAGCUGCUAAGACAUGAAUAAUUAAUAUCAAGUUGAUUCAACUGUUCAAACAGAACUUUCACCCAAUUAGGAACCUUGUCUUCGAUGGUGUCAUGAGAUUGAUGUUCCAUGGCUAAGUAAGCUCAUCCAAAUUUAGUAGGCCUGCAAAUGGGAGCUGAAAUCUUAACCAAAACUCCUGCUCCGAUAUCAAAAUUGAUGUGGAAUAAUGGGAAGAUAAGCACAGCCUGUUGAAUUUUCAUAGAGCAAUGAAUUUGAGGAGAUUUAAUGCAGUUCCCUAUUAACCCACAAGAAACAAAGUCGGAUGUCGCACUUUGAGAAAACUGAUAGGUUAGGAUUUUUGAAGAACGAGAUGAGGAAUUAUUAGGCUCAAGUGUUCAGGGUAAUUAAGCAACAUUAAAGAUAAUUGUUAUCUAAUGGAGAAAAGGUAAAGAAAGAGAUUACCGGUGGAGAACUUGUACACUAUCCAUCCGUGAUGACCGUGAAUCUAAAAUGUUGAAUCUUACUUCACACAGAAAGUCACUGAAAUAGGGUGGGUGGUAGGAAAGAGGAGUAAUGAAUAUAAAUUUAACCCUCACGGUCAGCUCUUUUUAGAGUAUAGGUAGCCCUCGCGGCUUCUCCAAAUGAAGCAAAAAAGAAUUCAACUUCAACUAUCCAAUUCAUAUUACAGUCAUAUUUUUAUAAGUCUGGAAAUCAGGAAGGUAGACAAAUAACUAACUAAUAACAACUAAUUAAUAAUAAACAAAGUCACGGCGAUGAUGCACAGUGCGUGAGUGAUGUGGCCAUAACCCACUCCUCUUAUGUUGUUUAAUACGUGGGGGAGAGUGUGGGUCCUCUUUCCUUAUAUCAUGCUGAAGAGAGAAGGGCAGAGGAGAAAGGAAAGACAGAUGGGAAAAAGGGAAUAGAGGUGUGAGAUAAGUGGCCCUCACGACCAACUCCAACUAGGAGCCUGGCGUCCUUGCAAUCAACCCAACCGAGUCAACGUGAUCAAAGCUAAUCAAGUGGAAUAUUCUUUCAAAGACAGACUACUUACAGACAAUGUUCAGGGUCUAUUUAAUUGACGAGGACAUAAAUCGGAAGACCUCGGUGGCUGUUGAAGAACCCCCCCUAAAGAUGUCGUCUGCCGGCCAGUCCAAGGGAAUGGAUAUCUUUGAAGCUGCAUUAACGCCAAAAUUUCAUCACAAGGUCUUUCGUCGGCGACCUUCUUGCGUUCAGGUAAAAUGUUGCACCUCUUUGAAUCUUCUUUAUGUAAUAUAUUUUCUUGCUACGAUCACUGGAGGGCCAUAGGAAAAGGCUUCCUUUCUUUGAUGAUUUCAAGCCUACAAGCUAUCGACCCUCAAUUUCCCAUGAGAUACAUGUUCCUUGGUGUGGUGAGUACCGAUAUCAAUCAAACCUUCAAUUAUGGAUCCCUGCGAAAAAGGCCGUUCCUCUAGCGUCAAAUCUCAACGUUUCCUCAUCGGGUGUCAACCAUUCCCCAACCCUUGUAUAUGUAGUUGUAGGCCUCAACGCCCAUCAAAACCGUCGACGCAUCACUGUCUCUCUUUCCCUCUUACUCUCUGUCCUUUGUCGACCGAAUUCACACUUGCCGCCGGAAGAAUGCCUGCGUCGCCUGGGAAGUUCCCCCGCGGCCGUUUGUGCGUUCUUCUUCUUCUCCUUCUUCUUCUUCUUUGUCGUCUCGUCGCCGUCGUCUUCUUCAUCAUGCUCUCGCUCCUGGGCUCCGGCUAUGAGUUCUCACUUUUUCCUUUGGAUAAGGAUGGACCCCUCAGGGCGGGGAAGGCGACCCAAAAAGGCUGCAGCAGGAACAGGGAAGGCCAGAGAGGAAGGAUGUGGAAGCCUAUGAGCCUCUCCGCCCUAGAAAAGGUGCCAUUUCUCUUGUCUCCCCAUAAUCCCGGAAGUUUUCGGAGGUCUCCAGAGUGAUUCAAGAUGGUUCUGAUUCCGAUGGUGGACGUCCCUGGGAGCCGUGAGAUGCUGGAGGAUCUUGACGAUCUGGGCCGCACCCUAUUAAGCCAAUUCGUUUACCUUCCCUUGGCUGGUGAGGAAGAUGUUUUAAAAACCUAAUCAGAUUACAAUCUAAGCUUUCUUCGGAAAUAGAAAUUAACAAAUUUAGUCAAAUAACAUUACCUUUUUAUUUCCCGCUUCCUCAUUAAAAGAUGAGGAAAACGCCAACAAGACCCACCCAUAAGAAGCCAAAAAUAUUACUACUCUUAUAAUGAAAAUUUAUUAUAAUAAAUAAUAAAAUAUCGACGAUCGUAGCCACGUAUAAACUGCGAUCCAGCUGAUGAUGGUAUGGCGCGGUCAGCUGAGAUAGUUCGGAGCGCAAAGAUCUUAGCUUUCAUGUACAGAAUACACAGUACAUAUACCAGAGGGAUGCCCAUCACACAGAUCUAAGUUAUUCAAACACUAAACACACGAGAACACCCUUAGGAGCACGAAAGAAGAUGGCAUAUGCUACGGUGACUGUCUCCCAUGAAAGCGGACUAUCUACGUACUUAGAUCCUGCCCCUCAA
rnacentral:lncRNA from 1 species